GAGGGCGUGGAAAGGCUGCGGACAGCUUAGUCAGCAACAUGCUCCCCUUGCGAGCACGAGCCGCCGAGGAGCUCAAUCUCCAGAGUCCAUCCAUGUGAAAAGCCAGGUGUGGGCUGCUAUACUGAUCAAGAGGUGUGGGAAAGCACCUGGCCCUGACCACCAUCAGGGGUUAGCCCAGGGGAGAAAAAAGUAAAUUUCUACUGCAUCCAUGACAAGGCGCAUCUCUAUUUUUAAUAUGCUGCCACUUGUAAGACUCAUCAUUGAUUUAAUAAUACUCUUCAGAAGUGAUUUACAAAAACAACAUGUUGGAAGUUCACAUUGAUUGUAGGAGGCAUCACCAGCCUCUGUCUGCGAAGCAUUGUAAUGCGUGAAAGAAGUGAGCAUCUGCAAGCUGGAACAGGUAUGUGUUUUCUAGACAUGUAGCAAAAAGCAGGGGCCAGUGUAGGGAGGCUGGCUCCGAAGUGGUGGUGUGGGUCGGUCUGCACCAUCCAUCCCCUGCCUCCCGUCCACAUCCACCCACUUUCUACCUUUGGUCCACAUUUCUCAUCUCCCCGCCUCUGGUCCAUAUCUAUCCUACCUCUGCUUCUGGUCCACAUGUAUCCUUCUGUCUCAGCUGCCUUCUAUCUCCAUCAUGCAGUCCCACUUAGGGACAUUUUAGGUGGCCACACAGGGCCAGCUGUGUCAUCAGCACUUGUUUAUGGUAGAUGGGCAGUCACUAACUAGAGCCAGACAUCUGAUGUGACACUGUGUUGUUCUUGGGACUGAAGGAUCAGAGCCACCAUCCAUCUACCCUCAGGCAGUUACUUUGUUUCUCUGGGUCCUGCAUCCCCCACCCCUGUAGUGUAGACACAAAAUAACAGAUAUAGUAGUUACUAAACUAAUGCUUAGCAUGUGCAUGGUUCUGUGUCUCACAUAUACUGAC